UGGCCUCAAAUCAGGUAGGACUACCCGCUGAACUUAAGCAUAUCAAUAAGCGGAGGAAAAGAAACUAACAAGGAUUCCCUUAGUAACGGCGAGUGAACCGGGAAAAGCUCAAAUUUGAAAUCUGGCUGUCUUCGAUAGUCCGAGUUGUAAUCUAUAGAAGCGUUUUCUGAGCUGAACUGUGUAUAAGUCCCUUGGAACAGGGUACCAUUGAAGGUGACAGUCCUGUAUAUGACACAAUCAUCAGUUCUCUGUGAUACGUUCUCUACGAGUCGAGUUGUUUGGGAAUGCAGCUCAAAAUGGGUGGUAAAUUCCAUCUAAAGCUAAAUAUUGGCGAGAGACCGAUAGCGAACAAGUACCGUGAGGGAAAGAUGAAAAGCACUUUGGAAAGAGAGUUAAACAGUACGUGAAAUUGUUAAAAGGGAAACGAUUGAAGUCAGUCGUGUUUAUUGGAUUCAGCCGGUCUUCGGUGUACUUCCUUUAAACGGGUCAACAUCAGUUUUGUCCGGUGGAUAAAGGUGUUAGGAAUGUAGCUUCCUCGGAAGUGUUAUAGCCUAGUAUCAAACGCACUGGAGGAGACUGAGGACUGCAGCUCGCCUUUUGGCCGGGGUUCGCCCACGUUCGAGCUUAGGAUGUUGACAUAAUGGCUUUAAACGACCCGUCUUGAAACACG
rnacentral:rRNA from 1 species